CACCUGAGAGGUGUUGGAUCUGAGUUCUGGUGAGUUCCCCCUGAAAAAAAACCCUGAGGACCCAUAUUAAUAUGGUUCAUCUGGGGUUUUUUACUUGUAUUAUAAGCUGCCCUGAGGCUUCCCUAAAAUAUAAUGUGGCUGUUGGGGCGGACACAUUCAUAAAUAAAUUCAGUACACAACACAUAUCCAAGAGUCUUCAGCUUUCCCAAAGAGUCUCUGAAUGGGUCAUAGUUAAAGGUUGUGAGAGUUCCAUUUGCAACCAGAAUGAAGCAAGUUGUGGCUAGGAAGAUGGAAAGUUGCUUUAUUGCAUUGCCGUUGGUCUACCAAGCUGAGGGCUGCCUAUCACUCUGACUGGGCUUUCUCCUGGGUUUCAGAAAGUAGUGCUUUACAGACUUGCCCACCUGGAAAUGCCAGGGAUUGAUCUCAGGGUUUUGUGUGUGCAUGCGCUUUACCAGGGAGUUACUGUCCUGCCCCAAUAAUGUAGUAGUCAAGGUGACUUGGUCUUUUAGCAAUAAAAUGCCAAAAGGUGUCUGACUACAGCAAUGGAGAAACUCACAUCAGCUAGGACAGAGACAGCUGCUAAGUGCAUUUAUGGCACCCCGAUUCCAUUUUAUAAGAGAGUUAAAAGAGGGAUCAAUGCAUGACAUACGGUAUUCGAAAAAUUUGUGUGGGAGUAAUUAACAGAGAACACUGGUGACUAAACAAAGCACACCAUUUUAAUUUUGUGCACAGAUUUCAAAAGCGGCCCUUGCUGCUAAUUUGUUAUCACUGACCUUUCAAGCUAAUGCUGACUGCCACAAACAUGGAGCAAAUUUAAUUGCUUUUUCUAGAGCAACAUUUCUUAACCUGAGCCUGAUAUGUGAACUUCAAGGAAUGGAGGGCAGUCAAUGUAGAAGGUCACACACUUGAAAGCUUUCACCUUUCUCCAGAAUUUCUUCAAGCAGAUUUGUGCUGUGAUCCAAGCUUUCAAAGCAGACAGUACUUGUUCGUUCAAUAAAAGAAAAUCAAAUACUCAGACUAGUUGCUGACAAUAGAAUUCAUUCAAUAGUUUGGCAAUUAGCCACUAAAACUUGCACAAGUUAUUCUUAAUUGCUCCCAAUGUAUUUUUAUUUUAUCAAGGACGAACCUUAACAAAAGUGCCCAUCGGUCCCUUCUGCUGAGAGAUUCAAACCAUGAUAUUCCUUAGGAUUGCUAUCUACCUAUUUGCUUAAAAUGAGAUAUAAGAAAGCAACCAUAGGAAGUGUUACUUUCAAUUUGAUAUUGAGUAUAUCCAAAAACAGCCCUUUAAUUCUUGAUUGGAUUCUUUCCCUUGCCUUAGUGCAUUUCCCCAACUUCCCACAGCCCAUUGUAAGUGUUGUAAUAUACAAUUACUGACUCACACUUGCAUGCAUAGAAAGGGUUAACCUGAGCUCAGGGUGCCAGUGGAGGUGGAGCUAGUAACCUCCUUACAGCCUUUUGUUUCCUCCCUCCCAUUCUUUUUUCUCUCUCUCUCUUCCUGCUUCCUGGGACAAGCAAGAAGUCAUACAGUCAUGGCUCACUGCAAGUGAGUUCAGUCUUUCUAAAAGGAGAUUUUAAAGCCUGCAUAUUCACUAAUCCCAAUAUUGCAUGGAGCUUUCUGAAAUGAAACAGUUAUUUUCCUUUUAAAGUCAUUUGGAACCUGUUUCAUCUUCAUUUUACUGCCAGCAGAUAGAGACUUAUUUGCUGUAACUUCUGGAAACUUUUUUCAUCCAACCCUGUCCAAGGAACUCUCUGGAAAAAUCAGAAAGAAGAGAACAAAAGAAGAAACUGUCAUCAGAAAUGGCAGACCAGAAUAUUGUUAAUUGUAUUUAAUUAUAUUAUUAACUUAUAAACCAUUUU